AUGCAACGAUGUUUGGUGUGCAAUGGGUGCCGGCUGCAGGGAUGCAAUGAGUCCUGCGCCGCAAUGAUCCUGGGCAUCCGUGCAACGACUUUUGCAGCGCAAACGGGUGCCGGAUGCAACGGCUGUGGGAACGCAACAAGUCCCAUGCUGCAACGACCCCGUGCAUCCAUGCAACAGCUUUUGCCGUGCAGCGGGUGCUGGCCGCACCGGCUGCAAGGACGCAACGAGCCCCGCGCUGCAACGUCCCCCCGCACCCAUGCAGCGACUUUUUGGGGGGGGGGGCGGCGGGCUCCCCACCUACCUGUGCCUCCCCAGCGCUCCGCUCCUCUCCGCCCCGUAGCCGGCCUCGCCGCCCCCCCGGGGCCACCCCCCGCCGCUGCGCCCGGCCUCCUCCCAGGGCAGCGUGGGCGAGCGGCGGGGGGGGCCGGCGGAGGGGAUGUGGGGGGGGGGCUCCCCCCUCCUCCCCCCCCCCUCCCCGGCCCCGGCCCCCCCCCGGGGGCGCCCCCUCGCCCUGGCUCGCUCGGGGCCCUCCAGGAGGGCGGCGAAGGCCGGGGGGGGCUCGGCGCUUUCGGGGGGGUGGUCGCUGCUGCUGCGGCUGUCCACCUCCUCGAUGCCCGAGUCGGUCACCGCCUCGGUCCCCUCGGGGGGCACGGCGGUGACGAGGCCGCCCCCCCCCCGGCGGGGCUCGGCCACCGCCUGGGUGAGGGUGGCCACCUCGCUGUCGUAGGAGGUGAGGCUGGAGGCCGUCGAGUCGCCCACGGGGGCGGCGCUCUCCGCCGCCUCGAAGCUGUUGGAAAAUUCCAGGGGGGGCGGCAGGGGCUCGGCCAGCAGCAGCUCCUCGUCCCCGUCCACCGAGGGGGCCGGGGGGGGCAAGGCCAGCAGCCCCCCCGCCUCGGCGAAGCGCACCCGCAGCUCCAAGCGAGCCUCGGCGCCCCCCGCCGCCAGCCACGGCUCGGCGGGCGACGGGGGGCGGCUGGAGCGCCGGGGGGGUUCCGCCCGGGGGGGGCCGGCGGGGGCGGCUUUGGGGAGCGGAGGGGGCGCCGCUUGCAAGGCCGCCGCCCCGGCUUGCAACGCCCCGCCUUGCAGCGCCCCGCUCUGCAACGGCGCCGGCGCCGCUUGCAACGGCGCCGCCUUGGAGGCGCCCGCCGGCAAGGGCAGCGUGCCGGCCUGCAGGGCCUGCAGCGAGGCGAGGUUGGGUUGCAAGGCCAGGGCGCCGGCUUGCAAGGGCGCCAGCCCCGGCUGCAAGGCCAAGGCGCCCGCCUGCAGCGAGGCCAAGCCCGGCUGCAGCGGCCCCAAGCCCGCUUGCAGCGGCCCCAAGCCCGACUGCAGCGCCGCCAGCCCCGACUGCAGCGAGGCCGCCCCCGAGGGCAGCGGCACGCCGCCUUGCAGCGGCGCCAGCCCCGGCUGCAGCGGCGCCAGCCCGGCUUGCAGCGACACGGCCCCGGCUUGCAGCGGCAUGGUGGCCGCCUGCAGCGCCGCCAGCCCCUUGCAACCCGGCGCGGCGUGCAAGCCGGCGCCCGAGCGCAGCGCUGCAGCGCCGCCGCCGCCGCCGUGCAUGGGCGUCGAGGCGCCGCCGUGCAUGGGCGCCGCCGCGCCGGGGUGCACCGGCGAGCCCGCACCGUGCAUGGGCGAGCCCGCGCCGUGCACGGGCGAGGGCGCGCCGUGCAUGCCCGGGGCGCCGCCGUGCAGCGGCGCAGCCCCGGGGUGCAGCCCCGCUGCGGCCGCGUGCAUGGGUGCCGCCGCGUGCAUGGGUGCCGCAGCGGGGUGCCCCGGCACGCUGCUGAAGGCGCUGCCGGCCCCCCCUUUACCCCCCCGGUAACCCCGCGGGGGGAAGGCGUCGGCGGCGAACAUCCCCUCGUCGAUGCUCUUGGAGUGGCGCAGGCGGGGGGCGCCCACCGAGCCGGGGCCCCCCCCGGCGCCUUCCUCCUCUUCCUCGGUGGAGAGGAAGAGCGCCGAGCGCCUCCUCGACGCCUCCCCGGGCCACUCGCGCUCCCGCCUGGCCGCCCCCACCAGCGCGGCCCCGAACUGGGAGGUGAAAUCCAACUGGGGGGCCGGCGGCGGCGGGUGGGGGGCACCGGCGGAGCCGGGAGACGGAGGCGGGGGGCCGCCGGAGGAAGGGGGGGACGCCCCGCUUUCGUUGGCCCCCCCCGGGCCUGGGGGGGCCCCCUCGGCUUCCACGCUGCUGCCCCGGCUGCUGCGGCCGCUGCUGCUGGUGGAGGGGGCCUUGACCACGAUGGUGGGGAUGGCGAUGGAGCUCUUCUCGCCCCCCCCCGGCGCGCC
rnacentral:lncRNA from 1 species